rnacentral:tmRNA from 1 species
AAGCUUUCCAAAGCUACGGUUAAAGUAUAUAUGUGGAAUUGUCCGCAAGGACUAUGGACAUAAACGCGCUCGUAAUAAGCGGCUCGGACCCGGGGGCGGUACCCGGCGACUCCACCAAUACUCGUUCAUUUGACGAUUAUGGGGUCGAAAUAGGAUCGACGGACGUCUAAAGGAGUUAGCUUUGGCUCGGUGAGAUACCACCGUUAUCGGUUCAAUUAAAGCUAGUUGCAAAUGACAACAGAGCUCCGGUAGCCCUAGCUGCGUAAGCAGUUCGGAAAACCGAAAACUUAAGUCCUAUCGCUUUGCAGCCAUAGGCGGGGUUCGGAGGCACCUGGCAACAGAAGCCUGUCCU